CUGAGUACGGCGGAACACGUGAAAUUCCGUCGGAAUCCGGGAGGACCAUCUCCCAAGGCUAAAUACUCCCUAGUGACCGAUAGUGAACCAGUACCGUGAGGGAAAGGUGAAAAGCACCCCGGAAGGGGAGUGAAACAGUUCCUGAAACCGUGUGCCUACAAGUAGUUAGAGCCCGUUAAUGGGUGAUAGCGUGCCUUUUGUAGAAUGAACCGGCGAGUUACGAUUUGUUGCAAGGUUAAGCGGAAAAAGCGGAGCCGUAGCGAAAGCGAGUCUGAAUAGGGCGCAUAAGUAACAGGUCGUAGACCCGAAACCAGGUGAUCUACCCAUGUCCAGGAUGAAGGUAAGGUAAUACUUACUGGAGGUCCGAACCCACGCACGUUGAAAAGUGCGGGGAUGAGGUGUGGGUAGCGGAGAAAUUCCAAUCGAACUUGGAGAUAGCUGGUUCUCUCCGAAAUAGCUUUAGGGCUAGCCUCGAGGUAAAGAGUCAUGGAGGUAGAGCACUGUUUGGACUAGGGGCCCUUCUCGGGUUACCGAAUUCAGAUAAACUCCGAAUGCCAUGUACUUAUACUCGGGAGUCAGACUGCGAGUGAUAAGAUCCGUAGUCGAAAGGGAAACAGCCCAGACCACCAGUUAAGGUCCCCAAAUAUAUGUUAAGUGGAAAAGGAUGUGGGGUUGCUUAGACAACCAGGAUGUUGGCUUAGAAGCAGCCACCAUUGAAAGAGUGCGUAAUAGCUCACUGGUCGAGUGACCCCGCGCCGAAAAUGUACCGGGGCUAAACAUAUUACCGAAACUGUGGAUGAACCUCUUUAGAGGUUCGUGGUAGGAGAGCGUUCUAAGGGCGGUGAAGUCAGACCGGAAGGACUGGUGGAGCGCUUAGAAGUGAGAAUGCCGGUAUGAGUAGCGAAAGAAGGGUGAGAAUCCCUUCCACCGAAUAUCUAAGGUUUCCUGAGGAAGGCUCGUCCGCUCAGGGUUAGUCGGGACCUAAGCCGAGGCCGAUAGGCGUAGGCGAUGGACAACAGGUAGAGAUUCCUGUACCAGUG
rnacentral:rRNA from 1 species